CGCGAAUUCACUGGAAAUUUUACUCCAAAAUCCCAACAUUGAGCAGCAAUAGAAUCGCGCUAAAACUCAGCACAAAGCUUCAACAAUGUCAGCACCAUCAGAAGAAACAUCUACAGCUUCUCCUUCUUCGCAAUCCUUGAUUCUUCGCCUCCAACAAUCCCUUGACUCCUGCUCCAAGGCAGAAGAAGAUGGUGAUAUUCGUCAAUCGGAACAAGUAAUUUCUGGGAUUGUUGAGUUUCUCAGCUCAAUUUCUGAUGCUGCUAUUUCAGAUCCUGAUGAUGAAGAAAAUCGAAACAAUUCAAUCGUUGUUCUUACGCAUAUUCAUUCUUUCCUCUCAAAUCCUUCUCUUGAUCAGGCUAUUGUUGAUGCACUUUCAUUUGAGAUGCCCAAGGCUAUUGCCAAGUUUGCAGGAGUGUCCCAGAGGUGCCGUGAAAUUGUUGAAAGUGUUAUUGAUCACUUCACAACAAAAUGUAGCCCACGCGACAUGAUUUCAGUGUUCUCUGAGGCAUUGGAUUCCUAUGGGAAAACAACUGAUGCAUCUGGUUAUGUUUCUGCUCUUCUAUGCGGGGUCUCUAAAGCAUUUCUCUCCAUACGUAGACGUCAGGCUGAACAAAUUAAAGUUGCUCUUCCCAUUAUCCUUAAUGUUGUGAAGGCUGCGUCUUUCGAUUUGGAUGAUAGAGAUAUAGGCUUCAAGGAUUUGUUUGAAGGAGCUAUUAGCAUUGCCAAUUCCAUGCUAGAAGCAUGUAAAAAAUUGGAGGAUGGAGCAAAUGGACAACUUCGUGGUUUACUCAGCUUGUAUGUUUUACAAAUCAUGACUGUUGUUUCAAUCAGCGCGGGGGAUGAAAUUUCGUCUUGUCUUUCCUUUGUUCAAACAUUAUCAAGCUUCUUUCCGUAUUGUGGUUUAUCAUAUGCGGAUCUUGUAUGUGGCCUUGGAGUUGAUCCACUUAUCAAUCUUAUACGUGGUGAUGAAACGGAUGAUUAUAUGGAUUGCUUUUGCUAUGUCAAUCAUGGAGCAGUGCUUUCAGUGAUUUGGGGGCAUAUAUCUGAUGAAGUCCCUCAGGCAGCUGGGCAGGAUGUCAGUCUUCUUAAGAAUGAUCUUAGGACCUCCCAAAGUAGAAGAUGGUCAACUAUAGGCAUGAUGAAGUACAUAUUCUCUUUAGGUGAGCUGCCUUGGGUCUUAAAGAAACAUGCGGCAGACUUCUUGCUGGUCAUCACAGAAAACAGUGAACAAGUUGUGAACGAAGACAUGAUAUGCUCAUCCUUUACACCCAGCCUUAUUUCUACUCUGCAGGCUAUUCUGUCAGUCAUCAUGUAUGCUCCAGAUGCUGAGUUAAGAAAGAUGGCUUUUGCUACCUUAAAAAGGGUUCUUGCUGAUAAUCCAGCUUCUUUAAGGCUAGACAUAAUGCAGGUCUUGGUUAAAUCUAGCACCUCUUCAUCCAUGGUGGCAAUACUUUUAGAUUGCGUUAGGGAGAAUCUUCGAAAUGAUUAUCUUAAACUGCGAGAAGAGAAAGUGUCUUCUAGCUGCACUUUUUGGAAUGCUAGCAUACUUGAAUUGGUAGAAUUUAUUUUGAGACCCCCCAAUGGAGGACCACCUUCCCUCCCUCAGCAAAGUGAUGCGGUUCUUUCAGCUCUUAACCUGUAUAGAUAUGUUCUAAUAGCAGAGAAAACAGGGAAGACGAACUUCACAGGAGUUGUGUCUAGAAACAAAUUAGAGGAGGUGUACAACAAGUGGCUCUUGCCUCUAAGAACUUUGGUGAUGAGCAUAAAUGCAGAAACCAAAAAGGGUGACAAGCAACUUGCAAUGGACAUAAUGUGUGGAUUAAACCCUCUUGAGCUUGUUUUGUACCACUGUAUUGAACUUGUUGAAGAGAGCAUCAGACAGUCAUGAUGGUUGGUGACUCAAACUUGAAUGUCCCCCUUAUCUUGGCUGUUUUCGUUAUACAUUUAUAUAAUAUUGUUCUUUUGUUCCCCUCGUCAUCAGGAUUAGUUGGGGGUUAGAUUAUUAAACUCUUCAAGAUACCUCUGUUGUUAAAGCUAUCAACACUACUCAUCAUUGAUUCUUUACAUACUGAAUGGAACAAUUGAUUUUUGAAUUUUGAAGGUAAACCUCUCAGGUCUUGCAAGGAAGCUGAAGCCGAGAGCCCGGGCUCGAUUUUAGCCGUAAGCGCUGUCCUGUGGACCUGUGAAUAAUUCUGAAACAUUUGCGUCUUUUUUUUUUACCUUUGGUUUUGUGAAAGUACAGGUAUAAGAGGGAUAAGUUUAUUUUAUUGUUUCAGGAAAUAAAAAGUAUAGGUUAUAGACAAAUUCAUGAUUCCGAGAGGGUGAACAGCUUACCUGACAUGAUAUACAAAAUCAAUCAUGAUUCCCGCCCCCUUAUAAAUAAUGCAUCUUUAUCAGCCAUUACAUACCUACUUGCAAAAAUAUGCUUAGAGAGUGGAUUUGUUUCCGUUUUUUAAACUUUAGACUCAAGCAAUGUCUAGUUGACUCCA